rnacentral:rRNA from 1 species
AUUGAACGCUGGCGGCAGGCCUAACACAUGCAAGUCGAGCGGAUGAUGGGAGCUUGCUCCUGGAUUCAGCGGCGCACGGGUGAGUAAUACCUAGGAAUCUGCCCGAUAGUGGGGGACAACGUUUCGAAAGGAACGCUAAUACCGCAUACGUCCUACGGGAGAAAGCAGGGGACCUUCGGGCCUUGCGCUACCAGAUGAGCCUAGGUCGGAUUAGCUAGUUGGUGAGGUAAUGGCUCACCAAGGCGACGAUCCGUAACUGGUCUGAGAGGAUGAUCAGUCACACUGGAACUGAGACACGGUCCAGACUCCUACGGGAGGCAGCAGUGGGGAAUAUUGGACAAUGGGCGAAAGCCUGAUCCAGCCAUGCCGCGUGUGUGAAGAAGGUCUUCGGAUUGUAAAGCACUUUAAGUUGGGAGGAAGGGCAGUAAACUAAUACCUUGCUGUUUUGACGUUACCGACAGAAUAAGCACCGGCUAACUCUGUGCCAGCCGCCGCCGUAAAAC